rnacentral:rRNA from 1 species
GGUAUGCUGGAGGUAUCAGAAGUGCGAAUGCUGACAUAAGUAACGAUAAAGCGGGUGAAAAGCCCGCUCGCCGGAAGACCAAGGGUUCCUGUCCAACGUUAAUCGGGGCAGGGUGAGUCGACCCCUAAGGCGAGGCCGAAAGGCGUAGUCGAUGGGAAACAGGUUAAUAUUCCUGUACUUGGUGUUACUGCGAAGGGGGGACGGAGAAGGCUAUGUUGGCCGGGCGACGGUUGUCCCGGUUUAAGCGUGUAGGCUGGUUUUCCAGGCAAAUCCGGAAAAUCAAGGCUGAGGCGUGAUGACGAGGCACUACGGUGCUGAAGCAACAAAUGCCCUGCUUCCAGGAAAAG